GGGAAUAUUGCACAAUGGGGGAAACCCUGAUGCAGCGACGCCGCGUGAGUGAAGAAGUAUUUCGGUAUGUAAAGCUCUAUCAGCAGGGAAGAAAAAAGAGUUAAAACUCUUGGACGGUACCUGAGUAAGAAGCCCCGGCUAACUACGUGCCAGCAGCCGCGGUAAUACGUAGGGGGCAAGCGUUAUCCGGAUUUACUGGGUGUAAAGGGAGCGUAGACGGCCAGGCAAGUCUGAAGUGAAAGCCCGGGGCUCAACCCCGGGACCGCUUUGGAAACUGUAUGGCUAGAGUGCGGGAGGGGUAGGCGGAAUUCCUAGUGUAGCGGUGAAAUGCGUAGAUAUUAGGAGGAACACCGGUGGCGAAGGCGGCCUACUGGACCGUAACUGACGUUGAGGCUCGAAGGCGUGGGGAGCAAACAGGA
rnacentral:rRNA from 1 species